rnacentral:rRNA from 1 species
AUUGAACGCUGGCGGCAGACGUGACAAGGGAAAGUCGAGCGAGCGGCGGACGGGUGAGUAAUGUCUGGGAAACUGCCUGAUGGAGGGGGAUAACUACUGGAAACGGUAGCUAAUACCGCAUACCAUCAGAUGUGCCCAGAUGGGAUUAGCUAGUAGGUGGGGUAAUGGCUCACCUAGGCGACGAUCCCUAGCUGGUCUGAGAGGAUGACCAGCCACACUGGAACGGAGACACGGUCCAGACUCCGACGGGAGGCAGCAGUGUGGAAUAUGGCACAAUGGGCGCAAGCCUGAUGCAGCCAUGCCGCGUGUGGGAAGAAGGCCUUCGGGUUGUAAAGCACUUGCAGCGAGGAGGCGUUACUCGCAGAAGAAGCACCGGCUAACUCCGUGCCAGCAGCCGCGGUAAUAC